CCCUUAGAUGUUCUGGGCAGCACGCGCGCUACAAUGGUCUUCGCAAACGGAUGCAUUCUCGAAGGAGAAUGCCAAUCUUGGAAUCUAUGCCUUGGUCGGGACAGUUGCUUGCAAUUUUUCGACUCGAACCAGGAAUUCCUUGUAAUCGUGAUUCAUCACAUCACGAUGAAUACGUCCCUGCCCUUUGUACACACCGCCCGUCGCUCCUACCGAUCGAAGAGUUAGGGGAAUUGUUUUGAUCGAUAAGAUUUGACUAUGGUCAACUCUCGUUGUGAAAUUCUGUGAAUCUGACUGUUUAGAGGAAGGAAAAGUCGUAACA
rnacentral:rRNA from 1 species